UACGAAGGGGGCUAGCGUUGCUCGGAAUCACUGGGCGUAAAGCGCGCGCAGGCGGCCUUUUAAGUCUGAUGUGAAAGCCCACGGCUUAACCGUGGAAGGUCAUUGGAAACUGGAAGGCUUGAGUACAGAAGAGGAAAGCGGAAUUCCACGUGUAGCGGUGAAAUGCGUAGAGAUGUGGAGGAACACCAGUGGCGAAGGCGGUUGCCUGGAGCUUUGCUGACGCUGAGGCGCGAAAGCGUGGGGAGCGAACGGG
rnacentral:rRNA from 1 species